rnacentral:rRNA from 1 species
GAUGAACGCUGGCGGCGUGCCUAAUACAUGCAAGUCGAGCGAACAGACGAGGAGCUUGCUCCUCUGACGUUAGCGGCGGACGGGUGAGUAACACGUGGAUAACCUACCUAUAAGACUGGGAUAACUUCGGGAAACCGGAGCUAAUACCGGAUAAUAUAUUGAACCGCAUGGUUCAAUAGUGAAAGACGGUUUUGCUGUCACUUAUAGAUGGAUCCGCGCCGCAUUAGCUAGUUGGUAAGGUAACGGCUUACCAAGGCAACGAUGCGUAGCCGACCUGAGAGGGUGAUCGGCCACACUGGAACUGAGACACCGUCCAGACUCCUACGGGAGGCAGCAGUAGGGAAUCUUCCGCAAUGGGCGAAAGCCUGACGGAGCAACGCCGCGUGAGUGAUGAAGGUCUUCGGAUCGUAAAACUCUGUUAUUAGGGAAGAACAAAUGUGUAAGUAACUAUGCACGUCUUGACGGUACCUAAUCAGAAAGCCACGGCUAACUACGUG